rnacentral:rRNA from 1 species
CCUACGGGAGGCAGCAGUGAGGAAUAUUGAUCAAUGGACGAGAGUCUGAACCAGCCACGUAGCGUGAAGGAUGAAUGACCUCUGGGUUGUAAACUUCUUUUAUAUGGGAAUAAAAUGUUCCACGUGUGGGAUUUUGUAUGUACAAUAUGAAUACGGAUCGGCUAACUCCGUGCCAGCCGCCGCGGUAAUACGGAGGCUACGAGCGUUAUCCGGAUUUAUUGGGUUUAAAGGGAGCGUAGGUGGAUUGUUAAGUCAGUUGUGAAAGUUUGCGGCUCAACCGUAAAAUUGCAGUUGAAACUGGCAGUCUUGAGUACAGUAGAGGUAGGCGGAAUUCGUGGUGUAGCGGUGAAAUGCUUAGAUAUCACGAAGAACUCCGGUUGCGAAGGCAGUUCACUGGACUGCAACUGACACUGAGGCUCGAAAGUGUGGGUAGCAAACAGGAUUAGAUACCCGGGUAGUC